rnacentral:rRNA from 1 species
GAUGAACGCUAGCUACAGGCUUAACACAUGCAAGUCGAGGGGAAACGAUAGAGAAAGCUUGCUUUUUCUAGGCGUCGACCGGCGCACGGGUGAGUAACGCGUAUCCAACCUGCCCAUCACUUGGGGAUAACCUUGCGAAAGUAAGACUAAUACCCAAUGACGUCUCUAGAAGACAUCUGAAAGAGAUUAAAGAUUUAUCGGUGAUGGAUGGGGAUGCGUCUGAUUAGCUUGUUGGCGGGGUAACGGCCCACCAAGGCGACGAUCAGUAGGGGUUCUGAGAGGAAGGUCCCCCACAUUGGAACUGAGACACGGUCCAAACUCCUACGGGAGGCAGCAGUGAGGAAUAUUGGUCAAUGGACGAGAGUCUGAACCAGCCAAGUAGCGUGCAGGAUGACGGCCCUAUGGGUUGUAAACUGCUUUUAUAAGGGAAUAAAGUGAGUCUCGUGAGACUUUUUGCAUGUACCUUAUGAAUAAGGACCGGCUAAUUCCGUG